GACGUACGCUGGCGGCGUGCUUAACACAUGCAAGUCGAACGGUAAGGCCCUUCGGGGUACACGAGUGGCGAACGGGUGAGUAACACGUGGGUGAUCUGCCCUGCACUUCGGGAUAAGCCUGGGAAACUGGGUCUAAUACCGGAUAGGACUCCGGACUGCAUGGUCUGGGGUGGAAAGCUUUUGCGGUGUGGGAUGGGCCCGCGGCCUAUCAGCUUGUUGGUGGGGUGAUGGCCUACCCAGGCGACGACGGGUAGCCGGCCUGAGAGGGUGACCGGCCACACUGGGACUGAGAUACGGCCCAGACUCCUACGGGAGGCAGCAGUGGGGAAUAUUGCACAAUGGGCGCAAGCCUGAUGCAGCGACGCCGCGUGAGGGAUGACGGCCUUCGGGUUGUAAACCUCUUCCAGCAUCGACGAAGCGAAAGUGACGGUAGGUGCAGAAGAAGGACCGGCCAACUACGUGCCAGCCGCCGCCGUAA
rnacentral:rRNA from 1 species